AGGAUGUGCAUGACUUAGCUUACAUUGGUCCAGCUGUAGCUGCAGAGCAGUUGACACAAAAACUAAAGGAAUUUGGAUAUAAGGAUGAUGUCAGUAUUCUAGAUCUCGGCUGUGGUACUGGUUUAGCUGGAGAACAAUUACACAAGCGUGGUUAUAAAAAUGUAGAUGGCUUAGAUCUCAGUCAAGAGCUGCUGGAGGUCGCCCAAGCAAAAGCCACGUAUAGGUAAUAACUAUACACAUAUUAUAAUGUUCCAGAGAUACAUAUCAUACGCCUGUAUUCUUAAAGCUUACUCACACUCAAAGAGUGGAGUUGCAAUCUGAGCUUCCCUUUAGUGUCA